ACGGGACCAGGCCAGGGAACCAGGCCAGGGGCCAGGGGACCGCCCCGCUUGAGCGGUGAAUGUUACCGGCCACAGGGAAUUAGAUUUCCUUCACGGGACGGCAUCUGAAGGUCAGGGAUCAUCGUAGCUGUCGCCUGAAGACACUGAGCUGUUUUAAAGGGAUGACAGCAAUACCAUACACCACAGUGGGUCAGGAAUUUAGCUUCUGGCCAGCAACCCUUGUUCCUGUGGUCCAGACACGGAGAGCCCUUCACAACCACAACCCAUGAGGUAAGACCACCAAACCCAUCCACAUGAACUAUAAAGGGGCAGCGUAAUCGUGGCGAACCUCAGAUAGUCCACCAUGCUGGAGUUCAGGCCGUCCGUAAAACCACUCGGUCUCUGGCGCUCGUUGAAGGAGCCAGUGCUGCAGUUUCUACCACUGCUGUGGGUCGGGACCUCUCCUGUAGAGGGAAGGUGGGAAUGGGAAGAAGCAGGAGCCGCUUUGUGUCUUCUCUUUCGUUAGGCGACUCUGGGACCAGGUUGGACCGCCGAGACCUGGAUGGAUGACACGUGAGUGCCGUUGAAUGACUUCUAGUGAGAAACGAAUCUUCCCCAUGUAACUGCUACACACACAUUUCCAUUUGGCUCGUGUGGACAGCAAGGGGCGCGGUGGCUUGCUGUAAAUGCUGGAGCCCUCAUCCGCUGCAGUACUGCCCGUCGCCACAGGGGGGCCCUGCGUGUCUUUCUUCAACAUUGCUGGAAUAUUCCUUCCCCGGUAAUUUGCGGCUGGUAAGAGCGGUGAAAGGUGUCAGUGCUGCUCUCCCGCGGACAAGUGUGUAUUUUCAAGUAAUGGGAAGGAUUUGUCGGAGCGGCACAGUAGCACAGCGAGUAGCGCUGCUGUCUCACAGUGCCCGGGUGGUGCGAGAG